rnacentral:rRNA from 1 species
GACAGAGGGGGCAAGCGUUGCUCGGAAUCACUGGGCGUAAAGGGCGCGUAGGCGGGAUGGCAAGUCGGUCGUGAAAUCUCUCGGCUCAACCGAGAAACGUCGGCCGAUACUGCCGUUCUUGAGGGAUGCAGAGGAGACUGGAAUUCCCGGUGUAGCGGUGAAAUGCGUAGGUAUCUGGAGGAAUACCGGUGGCGAAGGCGGCAUCCUGGACCGACAUUGACGCUGAACGGCGAAAGCUAGGGGAGCAAACGGG